UUGUGCUUGCUUCAUGGAUACUAAAAUUGGAAUAAUACGGAGAAGAUUGGCAUGGCCCCUGCACAAGGAUGACAUGUAAAUUUGUGAAGCAUUCCAUACAAAA
ensembl:snRNA U6 U6 spliceosomal RNA